GCCUGAAAACUACAAGCGUAAGCUCAAAACUCAAAGGGUCUGGCGGCACUUUAAACUAUCUAGAGGAGCCUGUCCUAUAAUCGAUAAUCCCCGUUAAACCUCACCUUCUUUAGCAAUCAGCCUGUAUACCGCCGUCGUCAGCUUACCCCCUAAAGGUCACACAAGUAAGCAAAGCUGGUCUUACCCAAAACGUCAGGUCGAGGUGCAGCUUACAAGAAGGGAAGAGAUGGGCUACAUUUCCUAGGAAACACGAAUAGUGCACUGAAACAUGUACAUUGAAGGAGGAUUUAGCAGUAAGUAAAAAAUAGAGUGUUUUACUGAAAAAGGUCUUAAAGUGCGUAC
rnacentral:rRNA from 1 species